UACGUAGGGUGCAAGCGUUUAAUCGGAAUUACUGGGCGUAAAGCGUGCGUAGGCGGCCAACUAAGUCGGAUGUGAAAUCCCCAGGCUUAACCUGGGAACUGCAUCCGAUACUGGAUGGCUUGGAUUCGGGAGAGGAAUGCGGAAUUCCAGGUGUAGCGGUGAAAUGCGUAGAUAUCUGGAGGAACACCGGUGGCGAAGGCGGCAUUCUGGACCGAUAUUGACGCUGAGGAGCGAAAGCCAGGGGAGCAAACGGG
rnacentral:rRNA from 1 species